UUUCACUGUCUUCCCUGCUAUAUAAUUCAAUCUGCACCUCAUCCUUCAGAGAAAUCUCUGUCUUUAUUACUUUGUACUAGAAAUUAAGGGAUUUUCGCUUCUUCUCCCCAUCCCCGUCUCGAAUCUUGUUUUACCGGCGGGUUUUCGUUUCGAUCUCAGACGGAGGUUGGGUUUCAGGGGAGCUGUUUGAAGAAGAAUGAUGCUUGGCCGUAAUCCCUCAGGUCAAGCCGCGAUCAACGAGCAGAUCAAGUCAGUUCUAGGUACGACGCCGGAGGUGAUCACCAAGAGAGGGUACGACGGCGAGAAGGCGGACAUUUGGUCGUAUGGGGUAAUUCUUUUUGUCCUCUUGGCCGGUUAUCUCCCAUUACUCUCAAGAAUUCUUGACCCCAACUUGAGGUUGUCCGAGGUGGGAGAAGAACUCCAAUUCCAAUAUUUGAGAUUGUUGUUGCUGAUAUUGUACCUCUAAAGAUUGGUGAUCAGGUGAAAUCUAUCACCCUCCUCCAACCAGGGGUCUUGGACUCUAUGAUUUAAUUUCAUUCAUCAGUACUCUCUUGCUUGCUAAAUUCCCUUCAGGUGCAUGCUGAUAGACUUGUAAUAUCUGGACACUCUCUUGCACUUGAUGAAUCAAGUAUGACUGGGGAAAGCAAGAUUGUGGGUAUUCUGUGAGUAUGAUCCGGCUCGGUAUUCCGAUCAUCUACUGAAUUGAUGCGAUUCAUGGGAACAACAAUGUCUAUGGUGCCACUGUUUUAUGUUGGAUAAAUGUCUACCCCAUACUAAUUUUCCUCAUUAUCUAAUCUUGGAAUCUGAGGGUUCAUUUUGAUUUAGAAAAUUCAAAUUUGCUGUAUAACACGAGGAUUCAACUUGGUACUGUUGUAAAGUUUCUUGAUUAACAAAUUAUGCUGAUUUUAGUAGCAAGUUUGAAAUUCCCCAUUAUUAAAUUCUUUCCAUGCUCCAUUUCCUUAUGGGUUAUUCUCAAUAUGAAGUUGUUCAGUUCAUAAUUUUCUAUCCAUUCCAAGGGCCUUUUAACCCAAUGAGAUUGGGCUU